UGUUCCCAGAAGAAGAGAGGCAGCCACACCCGGCCCUCCUGCUCAAAGACAAAACAGGAAAACAGGAGGUCUAACCAGCUGCACCAGAAAUGUAAUCCACCAUAAUACACAUCUGAUUAUCACUACAAAAAGCGGUACCUGAACGCCUCGGCAAGUGAAGUCAAAUGGCGGGAAAUUAAGACAGUCGGCGAGCGCACUUCCUGGGUACCUCUACCUCUUUAUCAGAUCCCGUGAAACCGUGACCAGACGCAAUGAGUUAUAUCAGGAACAUAAAAGAAAUGCUCAACAUCCAGCCCAGGUUAGCUAAAGUCUGCUACAGUAG